rnacentral:rRNA from 1 species
AUUGAACGCUGGCGGCAGGCCUAACACAUGCAAGUCGAGCGGAGCGGCGGACGGGUGAGUAAUGCCUAGGGAUCUGCCUGGUAGUGGGGGAUAACGUCCGGGAACGGGCGCUAAUACCGCAUACUAUCAGAUGAGCCUAGGUCGGAUUAGCUAGUUGGUGGGGUAAAGGCCUACCAAGGCGACGAUCCGUACCUGGUCGGGGAGGAUGAUCAGUCACACUGGAACUGGGACACGGUCAAGACUCCUACGGGAGGCAGCAGUGGGGAAUAUUGGAAAAUGGGGGAAAGCCUGACCCAGCCAGGCCGGGGGGGUGAAGAAGGUCUUCGGAUUGUAAAGCCCUUUAAGUUGGGAGGCGUUACCAACAGAAUAAGCACCGGCUAACUUCGUGCCAGCAGCCGCGGUAAUAC